CGGGGCGUUGCCUCGUCUGUACGAGGAGGAGCCUGAUGUCUUCCUCCCCCUCCCAGUCCUCCCCUUGGGGGAGCCUGGUUUGGAAAAGCUCGGCGGGCGUAAUCCGGUCCUCUGGGUCGUAGCCAUGUCUUUCUGGGAACUAGGGGACUAGCCCCAAGACCUAAAACCCGAGUAUCACUGUGGUUCACAGAAAGAAAGCUGAAAUGAGGUGAGCAGAAGUGUGGAAAUACAUCCAGCAACAUUAGAAAGCAGAGAAAUGAUAACUGCAAUCAAGCUAAGAAAUGUUUUGCCUGCCUGCCUGUUGCCUGUUGGAUCCUCUGGAACUGGAGUUAAGAGAGUUGUGAGCCACCAUCUGGGUGCUGGGAACCCAGGUCCUCUGCAAGAAAAAAUACUCUCAACUGUUAAGACAUCUCAUCUCACCAAGCCUGAACUAUAACUGCUUGCUUGCCAUGACAAACAAACGAAAAACUCAGGCUGUGGGAUGAAGACAUCUGUGCAGGUCUAUGCUAUAGGAAGUACUGCAGCUUGUAUUUAAUCACCUACUGGGGCGUGGCCUCUUAUACUGUUUACGGGGGAAGCCCUUCUCUCUCAUUCCCCUUGCUCCAUUCCCACCACCUGUUCUUUUGAACCGUGUGAUUCAACCAAUCAAGGGAGGAUUCUGAUUUGUGAGUUUACCCCUUAAUAAAUGACUAUCUAUUUCUCGA